ACAAUCUAAUCAAACAACAAGAUUCACAUUCAGCCAAAGUCAAAACUAAUGAUCAAAAUCCAACUGGUACCUUUAUAAGAGAAAGAGCUUCUUGCUGAACAAACUGUUUGAUUCUCUGCAUCGGUUUCUUCAUCAAGGUGGCGGCUCAGGCGGUGGUCGGUUCAGCCGGCUCUGGCGGUGGGCGUUUCAGGCGGCUCAGAUGGUAGUCGUUUCAAGCCGUGGCGGUGGUUUUCGCCAAACGACGGUUUAACAUUUUUUGGGGGAUUUGGCAGCAACAUUCACACUUUUACCCACUAAUCAUCCAAACAAACAUUCAAGUUCACCGGUAAUGAGUUUUCCAAAGAUUAGGGCAGAAAUAUCACUUCAAGAAACACCCCCCCCGAACGCCAUGCGAAGAAAGCUUGAUUCCAGUUGGAUGGGUGGAUUUAGUCUUAGAAUUGACCUGGGUUUGUCUCGAACUGGGCUUGCUAUCAGUAAAUGAUUUCUCUGUUCGUCCCCUCAAGGUUCUUGAAUUAAGGGGCCAAAAGCUUGAGAUGAGUCUUAUUGAAAUUGCUCAACAACAGGUGGUUUUUAUGAUCAUUUUGGUGGUAGUGGUG